rnacentral:tmRNA from 1 species
GGUCUUCCCAUCGCCGCGCGAAUGCCUAUAUGGGGCUCUGCCGGGUUUGACCCGGCUAUGACGAUAAACUGCGGCGUGCAAUAGACGCAGCGGACCCGGGGGCGGUACCCGGCGGCUCCACCACCUUUUCCGUUCGCGCGGAACAGAUGACGGGGCCGAACUAGGAUCGACGUGUGUUGAAAAGCGCUGUUUUCGUCCGGGCUGAGUAACCCGUUAAAGGCUCAAAACUCACAAGUGCCAACGACAACGAAGCACUUGCUCUCGCCGCGUAAUCUGACGGCCUAACGGCCUGAUCUUACAAAGCGAAAGCGCGGUUGGACACACCGGUCAACAGAAGUGAUACCAGCGGCCCGGGGGGUGCCGGGCAACAGAAAUCCCCCCACC